rnacentral:lncRNA from 1 species
AUGACCCGGCCCAAUCCCUUCACCAACAAAAGAAACCCAACAACAUUCCUUUCAAUUCAAAGGUACACAGCCAGUAGACGGAAAGUAGCAGCCAGUCCACGGCGUCAAAUAGACGGAAUAGUACGCCCUACGCGUACAGGCGGUACACAGCUUUAUUCUCGUCGUCUUCUUCCUUUCCCUCGACAAACAGUACGCCUAGUACUGUUCCAGCCUUAUCCAGUCAAGAAUUUUCAAAUUACUCACAGUCCCACAUCGAUUCUAGGCUAUAUUUUUUCGGAUUUCUCAACCCCUAUAAAUAGCCUCCUUCUUACUGUUUAAGGGAGUCUCAACCCCUAUAAAUAGCCUCCUUCUUACUGUUCAAGGACGGUUUUUGAGACCUGAGAGUACCCCUAUAAGGUUUUGGAAUUCUCAGUUCAAUAGUUGAAAGUUUUUUUUUGUGGUUUUUCGAGUUGAAGAGGUGGAAUCGCCUCCGUCGAACUCGUCGUUCCGAUUCGCUGCCCAGAACCAGGUAAUAUUUCUUUGUUUCUACAAUUUUCUUUAUGAGUGUUUAUAAAUUCUGUUUAGGGUAGUUUGGUAGUAAUAUGUUAGCAUAAUUAGAUUUUAUUCUGCUCCUUUAAGCUGAAUCUGAAUCUUAUAGUCAUGUUUCGUUCUUAUUUUUGAUAGAAUUAAUCCGUUUAACUGUAUAUUUUCCUUCGCCUUGCUUAGUGAAAUUUAGCUAUGGUUUUGCCUAAAAUUUGAAGGAGUCAUUGAUUUUCUUUUGUUUGAGUUACUGCGCCAUUUGUUCUCUCUCUAAGCAUGUUUAUUACUCUAAAUUUGACAAAGAAAAUGUUAAGUUUUGAGAUUAGUUGUUGUUUUCUUUCUUUAAUGUAUAAGUCAUUUUGUUUAUGAUUUAGUGUUUGUUAACAUUUAGUGAAUGCACUUCUUAAGCAUGUUGUUUGUUUGGAUUUUCCGUUAAGGUCUUUAGUCUUGCAGUCCGUCUCUCUAGCAUUUUUCUUCGGUUUGAUAGUUCUUUUGCUCAUGUUUCUUUGUAGUUACUGUUGACACGAGUUCUUUUUUUUUCUUUCUAGAUCUCUGUUUUAUAUAGUUUUGAGUCCAUUUUAAUAACUGUCCGCGUUCUAGUUUGAUUUUCUUCUCAUUUAAGUCGAGUUACUGCUUCGCCAUAAGCAUAAGAGAGCUUGUUCUAGUUUAAACUUAAUUCCAUGAGUUGUUUAGAUUCUUAUAAUCUCUAGUCCCAAAUCUCAUACUUGUUGUAUUGAUGUCCUUAACAUUUGUUUCUCCACGAGGAGUGUUGCUUUGAUUUAAAAAAUGGAAUUAGUUUGUUGGUUUGCCUCUUUCACUGAUUUUCCAAGAUGUUUUCCAGUAGUCUUAUAACUCCAUAUGUCUUUGCUUUCUUCAUGUUUCACUCAUGUGUUCCUUGAUUAAGUGUAGACUUUAUAGUUAGUAAUAAAAGAGGAUUUAUUAAGCUAGUCUUGCCUUAUACACAUAUAUCAUUUUAUAGUCUUGAAUACAUGAUUAUUAUUUUUUGUAAAAAAUCCCAUUAGUAUUACUGCUAGUGCUUUAUCAUUUCAUAUUAAUGAGGUUAGUUUUAACUUGUUAAUAUUCAUGUUCCUUUAAAAUUACUAGUUGCUUAUUGUUGACACCAAAUUUUGUCCCUCCUUUCUUCUANNNN